AUUUGGCUACUCCCCUUCACUUAAACCUGCAAGAAGAAAUCAUGGGUUAGUCUUAGGAACCCAAACUAGUUUGGGUCCCUUUAUAUGGGCAAAAGGAUGAAUUAAAAUUUUCUUUGCUCAACCAGGCAGUUUGUACUUUUCUUGAAAGAAGGCUUUGUUCUUUUGACUGGCCUUUUCUUUUGCAUUACAUUCAUCUUUGUAAUGGCCAGUCUUACCACAGUGCGUGUAGAUCUUAUUCUCAGUAAGUGUGAGGUACCUAUUUUUGGGAUCCCAUUUUGGAGCUUGUGCCCCAAAUCCAAGUCCUCUCUUAUUGCUACUAUGAUGUUCUUGUAGCCAGGAGAGUGCAUCGGAAGCCUUGUUCCAUUUGCAUGUUCUUUCUAGUUCAUGCUUUACCUUUCCUAUAUCUUCUUUAGGCCUUUAAUCAAUUCAUCUUUCUUGUACAGUUCAUCGUUCAGCUUUCCUAGAUUUUCUUCUAGAGUGAGAAAUGAUUGAUCAGCCUUUUUCUUUCCUGUUCCUAAUUUCAGUUUAAUAUUUUCAGAUCUAAGUUCUAGGAUCUUAUUUUCAAGUUGAUGAACCAUGUUCUUCGACUCAGUAUUUAUGUUGUCACUCUCAUCAUCCCUAGACUCUAACCUUUGACAUUUUAUUUCUAAGAUAACACAUUCCCUAGACAGAAUAUCCUUCUCACUGUUUAUUAUUUCGGACUCAUCUAUGAAAUCCAUCAGUAGAUCAGCCAAUUUUUCUUUAGACAAGAACUUAAUAUUUUCUUUAAGGUGUAGAAUACUUACCUCAUGUUCAUCUUCUGAUUCUCUGAUGGCCAUAAGAGCUUGCUAUCUUCAGCUUCAUUUUCUGAGUCCUCAUCUGAUGUUACUCCCUAUGAAUUCUCUGAUGGCCAUAAGAGCUUGCUAAUCUUCAGCUUUAUUUUCUGAGUCUUCAUCUGACGUUUCUCCCCAUGCAGCAACCAUAGCUUUAGUUGAUCCUUUGUUCCUUCUUGGUUGAACCUAUUCCUUCUUCUUGUUUCUUCUAUUUGCUCCUUCUUUCUUCCAUUCAACCUCCCAUUGAGGGCAGUUUCUGAUGUGGUGAUGAGUCUUCCACACUUGUAACACCCCUCAUUGGUUUGUUUCUUAGGAGCCCUAGGUUUGUUGAAUGUUGUUCCUUUUGAAGGACCCUUUCCUCUUAUAAGAUAUUUCUUGAAAUCUCUGGUUAUCAUAGACAUUUCAUCAUCUUCAACAUCUGAUCCUUCUGAUAUUCUGAGAUCCAAGCUUCUUUCUUUCUUUGGAGCAUCCAUCUUCAUUAUUUGCCUUCUCAAUUCAUAGGCAGUAAGAUUUCCAUUCAGUUCAUCCAGUUUCAAAGUAGCAAUGUUUUUGGAUUCCUGAAUAGCAGUGAUUUUGCUUUCCCAUGAGAUUGGCAGAACUCUAGUUAGAAUCUUCUCCACCUUGUCUCCUUCCAGAAUAACCCUUCCAAGAGACUCAAGUUCAUUUGUUAGUGUAGUGAACCUAGUAUACAUCUGUUGGAUAGUUUCACCAUCCUUCAUUACUCCAUGAUAAUCCUUCCAAGAGACUCAAGUUCAUUUGUCAGUGUAGUGAACCUGGUAUACAUCUAUUGGAUAGUAUCUCCAUCCUUUAUAGUAAAAUUCUCAUAUUGAGAAUACAUCUAAGUUCCUCUUGACCUCUUCACCUGAGGUGUUCCUUCAUGAGCCACUUGUAAAGUGUCCCAAAUCUCCUUGGUAGUAGUACAACCUUGAAUCCUGAUGUACUCAUGAGGACCAAGUCCACACACUAGCCUUUUCUUAGCUUUAGCAUUUUUCUCCCAUCUCCUUAGAUCUUCAGUAGUACAAUCUGCUCUUGUCUUUGGAACAUCCAAUCCUUCAGCAUUCUUCUUGGUUGUGGAUAAAGGACCAUCAGUGAUGAUAUCCCAAAGCUCAGUCUUCACCCAUGAUAUGGUCCCUCAUUCUGUUUUUCCACUAGGAGUAGUAGAGGCCAUUGAAGAGAGGAGGAUUGGCAGUGGAUUGCCUUUCCAAGUUCCCAGGUGGUGCACUCAUAUUGAUAUUUUCCUAAGGUGUUAACCUCUUCAAGGAUAACCUGCUCUGAUACCAAUUGUUGUUAUUAACGUCAAUACCACACAAGAGGGGGAGUGAUUUAAGUGGUACCUAAUUUUUGCGUUAGAAGAACCUGGUUCUUCCAAGUAUUCUAACUACAGUGUUUGUGGAAUAAUAAGUACUGAAAGUAAAGUGCAAAGAGAUUUUUACGUGAAAAACACCUUUCUCAAAAGGUGAAAAAAACCACGACCUACUACUUAGUAGGAUUUUCCCAAACUCCACUAAUAUCACUAAGCCAAAAACUGCAUUUACAAAACUCUUUGUAAAUCUAAGGACUAACUACAAUCCCAGUGUGGCACACAGCCUCAACUGUUGCGACACCUUCAAGUUAACUCUAACUUGAAUACUCAGAGUACCUAAUACAAUUUCUUCUAUGAAAGCUGAAAGGUAUAAUGUUAAAACCUACUACAAUGAACUAGACUUAGAGAAAACACAAUGAUGGAACUGGUUCUUCUAUCUUAGUUCAUGUAGCUUUAAACGUGCACACUUGUAUCUCGCAUAUGUUCCUUGAAAAUUAGACUUGCUCUUUUUGCUCUCAAAUAUGAUUAACAUCUGCGUAUGUGCAUUACCUGUAAAAGAGAACGACUUGGUUAUUUAAUAGAUUAGUAGUUAGAGUUUGAUCAAGAAUUCAAUGCUUAUCCUAAGUCGAUUUGAGUCCUUAGCCAAUACAAACUCCUAUCCUUAUCCUAGCUUAGGAUUGUGUUCUCUUAUCAUAAGGAGAUUGUCCUCCUUAGAACUCCAUGCAACCUUUUCUAUUCCGUUCAGAAGAUAUUUGAUGAGUAAUCUUAAUACAUAUCUUCCUCACGUGCCUUCCAUGUGCAAAGGUUAUGACUAACUAUGUCUCUCAAGAUGGACCAUGUCCUUCACUGAGUUCAUUUGUCAAUCUUCAAAACUUCAACUGAACUUGGGCCAACAGGGGUAACUGGGGCCUGGAUCGGGUUUUAAUUGAAAUUGGGCGUGAAAUUAAGGUCCAAUUUGGGGUAAGAUUUUAGGCUAAAAUUGAAACAAAUUGGGCUAUUAUUUAAAUAGCCAAUUUUCCCUUUUAAAAUUAUAAAAAGUAGUAAAUUAAUUUGUGGAAAUAAGUUGAAAGUGCCAAAAUGAUCUAUAACACAUAAUUAUCAAAUUUAAAGUAUGAAAUCACAUUUUAUGAAUCUGAGACGAACUUAAACCUAAAAAUGACUAAUAUUACAAUUAUGCAAUUCUAUCCUUAAAAAUACCAAAUAAAUUUGUUUUAAAAUGUGUGAAAAAUACUUUUGCCAUAUUUUAAUAUAAACAUGAGACUCCAAUAAGUGAAUCACCAAAAAUGAUACUUAUGGGGAUAAUUAUUGAGUUUUUCUUGAUAAAGUGGGCAGUGAAUUAAUUUUUAAAUCUUCGAAAAAUUAAGAAAAAAUAAUGUAGCCGUGGGGUAUACUUAUAUGUGUAUAUACAUGCUAUUUUGAAACGUAUUUUGCAUAUAAAAAUAGAGGGAAAAAUUGCAUAUGUAAAACAAACACCACUUCAAAAGGUCCACUCCAUUUUGACUUAAGCUUUCCCGGAAACAGACGUAACCGAGAGUUGAACAGGAGAACCAAAUCACCCACUUUGAACUCUUUGCCACGAGCAUAUUUAUAAUGAAGGUACUUUAUCUUGUCCUUUUACAAGGACGAACUGGAGUAGGCAUGGAAUCCGAAUUCAUCAAGUCCAUUAAGCUGCUCCACACGAAGAUUUGCUACUGCAUCCCAUUCAAGAUUUAACUUCCUCAAAGCCCACAUGGCAUUGUGCUCUAACUCAACCGGUAGAUGGAAAGAUUUCCCAAACACCAACUGAUACGGAGACAUACCAAUCAAAGUUUUGUAACCAGUCCUAUAAGCCUAAAGAGCAUUAUCUAACUUCUUUGACCAAUCGAUCCUAUUUGUAUUAACCGUCUUUGACAAUAUACUCUUGAUUUCCCUGUUUGAGACUUCAACUUGGACACUCGCUUGAGGAUGAUAAGGAGUAUAAACUUUGUGGUUGACACCAUACUUUGCAAGAAAAGUGCCAAAAGCUCUAUUACAAAAGUGAGACCCCCAUCACUUAUGAUUGCACGAAGAGUACCAAACCUUUUAAAAAUUCUAUGCUUAAGAAAUGCAACAGCACUCCGGGACUCAUUGUUGGGUAAAGCAACAGCUUCAACCCACUCUGAAACAUAGUCAACCGCGACAAGCAUAUAUGUGUUCCCACACGAGUGUCACACCUCCUUUUUACACUAUACACCCCCGGAGGGGCGUAAAGGAGUUUUUCCACUUAAAGGACAAUCAGAAGGUUAAUGGUGUCCAAAGUCACCGAUUGAAUCCCCAACCGAGGAAAAAUAUGACUCUGUUACAGUCUGCGAACCAGAAAUCCGAGUAAGAAAUUCUGUUAAUCCGGCAGAAGGUGUUAGGCAUUCCCGAGUUCCGUGGUUCUAGUACGGUCGCUUAAUUAUUGCAUUUGAGUUUAUCUGAUUUUAAUACAUUCUAGAUUAUGUGCCUUUUAUUAAUAAACCUCUUUUUAUCAUUAUUUAUUUUAAAAGAAUUGUGACGUCGUGAAAAUACGUCUCUGACCACGUCGCCAUCAAGGUACCCGUGGUCGCCAACACAUUUCGACUUCGUCGAGAUUUGGAUUUGGGUCACAUCAAUGCGCACCCUAGUAUAAGAAAGUAAUUUAAUUAAAUCGCGCUUAAAGGUUCUAAUGUAAUAUCAUUUUGGGAAAGGUUGUUGAAAUUCACUAAACGGCCCUUACAAAUUCUAAUCAUUUUUAAUAACCAAUUAGUGGCCCCACAUUUAUUUUUGUUUGGUGAGGCUCGUCUCCAUUUUUGAACCAUUUUCGAUCAUUAUUUGUUUUAUAAGAAUUACGAUGUCAUGAAAACGCGUUUCUAACCCCAUCGCCAUCAAGGCACCCGUGGUUAUCAACACAUUUCGACUUCGUCGAGAUUUGAAUUUGGGUUGCAUCAAUUCACACCCGAGUUUAGGAAAGUACUUUAAUUAAAACGCGUCUAAAGACUCUAUCCCAAUAUUUUUUGGGGAAGGCCGUGAAAUUCGCUAAACGACCUUCCUUAUUUCUAAAUAAUUUUAUGCAACCAUUAGUGAGGGCCACGAUUCUAUCGCAAUAUUAUUUGGGUAAGGCCAUGAAAUUCGCUAAUUGGCCCUCCCGAUUUCUAAGUAAUUCUAUGUAACCAUUAUUGAGGGCCCCGCAAUUGUGUUUAUUGGGCGAGGCUCGUCUCAUUUUAUUUUAAGGGCAAACUUGGAAGCCACUAUAUUUUCUACUUAUUUUGUCUCUAGGUGUAGUAAAGAAAGAAGUCUUGAUUAUUUAUUAUUAUUGUAAUGAGUUGGCAUCACUGGACCCAUUGUCCUCCUGGCCUUGGGCCCAAGUGAACCAAUACACACGAGGCUUGCAUACUAUACAAAUUACCCCAAUAACCCAAAAGUUGGGCUGAAAAGCAGCCCAGGAUGAUCACAACCGGGCAGACCUCGCGCGAGAGGAAUCGAAUCCCUGAACCUUCUGAAAACCAGCCCAGAUGAUCACAACCGGGCAGACCUCGCGCGAGAGGGAUCGGAUCCUGAACCUUCAUCUUGGAAUCGAAUUUAGUAGCCAACACUUGCAACUCCAAAGACGCCUCUGAUUUUACUUUUUUUUUACACAAGAGUACUUAAACUAACACUGUACUAUCGAUACUAAAGCACAAUAAUUCAAAUAGUCCAAAACAAAUCAACCCAAAUCCAGACAUUUUGAUGCCUAUGUUAUUUGAUUAAACUACUGUUGCUAAUUACUUACUUAUUCCAAAACUAAUCGUUAUGGCAUAAAAAACCAAACGGCAAAACAAGCUCAUGUUAAUACCCCCUGUUACAGUGAAGCAAACCAUCAACCUAGAAAUUUCAAAUUUAUAAACCCACAACAUGUCAAUAUAAGCGUAACAGUCUGUAGUUCAUAGUUUCAAGUCCACGUGUAUAUACCAUUCAUAUAAUACAACACUUUUCAUGUCAAUAUAAACUAAUAUCAACUAUGUCUAAUUAACUAAUAUCUAUUUAGUAAAAAACAUCAGAAGACAUCCAAACAUAUAUAAAUCUGGCAAAUGUUUCAUUUCAACUUCAAUUUCCAUCUACAUUGAGAGAAUUCAAGGGAAGGUAUACCUGGAAACAGAACAAAAUUUCAGAAUAGGAGACAGCUUAGGGCAGUGAUCGAGCAGCAACAGUUCAAUACUCAAAACAGCCCAUGAAUAUAACGAUCAACCCAGAAAUGCUUAAACCAAGCAGAAAUUAACAAAUCCAAUUCAACACAGCAUCAAUUUCCACCGGAAAAGAAUAUAAAUGACCAAACAGCCAACAACAAAACUUUAGAACAGACUGAAGCAAACAAUUCUGAUUUGAAAUCAAUUGAGAGUGACCCAACACACUUUGGAACAGAUUCGGUAAUCAGCGGAAGAGAUGAGCAAUGCCUAGAGCCUCAAACUUCAGCUCGAAGAGCAAUGUAACAGUACCCAUUUUUUUGGGAUUUUUGAAAUUUUUAUAUUUUUUUUUGGUUUUUCUUUUGAAGAAUGCUAAGAUAUAAAGUAAUUUGAAUCUCAAACUUUAAUCUCAGAUCUGAAACUGGAAGGAGCUUUUUUGGGGGAAUUUUUGGGUUGCCAAACUUGCUCUUCAAGGCAUUUUAAUGCCUUUUUAUAUGCAUAAGGGAGGACAACC
rnacentral:lncRNA from 1 species